AGGGGCAAGUUCACUUCUCCAUUUGGUGCGGAGGACAAAUACGGUGUGGGAAAGUUUCUCUCUCUCCUUCUCUCUUCUCUCUCUCUCUCCCUCCCCCUCUCUUCUGCCUUUCUGUUCUCUCCCUCUCCUCCCUCAGCCCACCCCCCUCUCUCUCUCUUUCUCUCUCAUACACGCACAUCAUGUGGUUGGAAUAUGCUCUUGCCUAACUCAGAGAGCAACUGAAGCACGCGUAAUGAGCUGGGUAUUAGCGGCAAUUUUAAACGGAAGGGUGGCGAGUGAUGGCUGGAUAUUGUGGGAAGGUCUAGAAAGAACAGUGCAUAUACUCGAAGGGCCUCUGUUUUUGGAUGAUUUCUGACUGUUCAAGACAACUGCUGUAUUGACUGACGACAUUUAAAAUAUGCGGAGAGGAUGACCAGAGUUUACCCCACGGAGGAGAGCAGGGGCGGUGACCUGUUUGAAAUGUAUCCUGAAGCGCACACUACCUGAGGAAAGGGGAGUCGGAGGGGAGGACGCAGUUGACGGCUUAAUUCGCGGGGAAGGACAACGUGGGCACUCGUUAAGAUGGUGGUCCCCCGGAGGCGAAGGUGCACAAAAGGAAAGGGAUGUGACGGAUGACAGCAUUGUUCUCUUAAAGAAAAGUGAGAUUCGGGUUCACACCGCCCCACCCCCUUGACUCAUUGCAACGGGCCCUGUCUGUAACUUUUCAUCAUUCUUAGUAAUAUUAAAUCUAUUUCGUACCGUGGAAGUCUUCCACGCUCAAUAGUUACGAAAUUUGAUAAAUAAUUACUUACUACCAUUUUCAUUGUUGAUGGGUGUGUGUUUUCCCCCAUAUUUACCCUUAAAUGUGUAUCAAUGGAUCUGUUGUGAAUUUUAAAUGCUUGUUUUGUAUCUUUUUUUUUGUUUGUUUAAUGGGUGAUUAAUUCAAUAAAGUAUAUAUUUUUAAA